AGAGCGAACGCUGGCGGCAGGCCUAAUACAUGCAAGUCGAACGGAUCCUUCGGGAUUAGUGGCGGACGGGUGAGUAACACGUGGGAACGUGCCCUUUGGUUCGGAACAACUCAGGGAAACUUGAGCUAAUACCGAAUGUGCCCUUCGGGGGAAAGAUUUAUCGCCAUUGGAGCGGCCCGCGUCUGAUUAGCUAGUUGGUAGGGUAAAGGCCUACCAAGGCUACGAUCAGUAGCUGGUCUGAGAGGAUGAUCAGCCACACUGGGACUGAGACACGGCCCAGACUCCUACGGGAGGCAGCAGUAGGGAAUCUUGCGCAAUGGGCGAAAGCCUGACGCAGCCAUGCCGCGUGAAUGAUGAAGGUCUUAGGAUUGUAAAAUUCUUUCAGCGGGGACGAUAAUGACGGUACCGCAGAAGAACGCCCGGACUAACUUCGCGCCAGCACGCCGC
rnacentral:rRNA from 1 species